rnacentral:lncRNA from 1 species
UGAACAACUUUCAAGAAGGAAUCGUUUCUGUUUGAGCGACGGAAAUUAAAGUGUUGAAGCUCCAAACAUGAUAGUCGGCUUCUUGCAGAUUUCGAAGCUGUUGUGAUGUUUCGAAGAUCUGGAAAUAUUUAACCGUUAGUUCAUCCUGAAUUUUUGAUAUGUUAUGAAAGAGUCGAUGAGGAACAACUUCAAUGAAGAAAGCAUGCCGAUCUGAACAAUAGAAAAUGGAGUUUCGAAGCUCACAACAAAUCUGACGGGUUGACAGAAAAAUAAUAACCAGUCAUUCAUCAUACCUGGAUUUCUGGAGUUAUACUGCUCCGAGGGAUCUCAAAUUUUGAUAUGUUGUAGUUCACGAGCUGAGGAACAACUUCAAUGAAGAAAGCAUACCGAUCUGAACAAGAGAAAAUGGAGUUUCGAAGCUCCCAACAAAUCUGACGGGUUGACAGAAAAAUAAUAACCAGUCAUUCAUCAUACCUGGAUUUCUGGAGUUAUACUGCUCCGAGGGAUCUCAAAUUUGGAUAUGUUGUAGUUCACAAGCUGAGGAACAACUUCAAUGAAGAAAGCAUGCUGAUUUGAGCAAGAGAAAAUAGAGUUUCAAAGCUCACAACAAAUCUGACGGGUUGACAGACAAAUGAUAAACAGUCACUCAUCAUACCUGGAUUUCUGGAGUUAUACUGCUCCGAGGGACCUCAAAUUUGGAUAUGUUGUAGUUCACAAGUUAAGGAACAACUUCGAUGAAGAAAGUAUGUUGAUAUGAACAAGAGAAAAUGGAGUUUCGAAGCUCACAACAAGUCUGACGGAUUAACAGAACAUUGAUGAACAGUUACUCAUCAUACUUGAAUUUCUGAAGUUGUACUACUCCGAUGGAUCUCAAAUUUGGAUAUGUUGUAGUUCACAAGAUAAGGAAAAACUUUCAUGAAGAUGACUUUGCAAUCUGAGCUAUAGAGAAUGGUGUUAUCUUGCAUCCACUCAGGCUGAUUAGUGGAAACGAAAAGCAAUUCCACCAAAGAAAAGAUGAAAAAGAGAGAAAAAAGCUACUAAUUGCACUUGAUCUUGUCUAGUCAAUAGCAUGCAGCAUCAAACACACAAAAGUUGGAAAUAUUUUUAGAUAAAGCAUAUACGAAUGUGUGACAUCGAAACAAGGAUUCGUUACUUUGACAAAUUAGUAACACGCGAGACGCCUCAUUCGGCAACUCUCUUCGCCUGAAGACUUGGGGGACUCCCACCAUAUGCUACUGCACCUUGAUACUCGGCAGUCUCACAACCACUCAGUGACUUGGAUUUUUCAAGUCUCCAACCGAGAAGUUUUCCUCACUCGGGAAAUUAAGGGAACACUACCUCAAACUAC